CAUUCAGGAUGCACCCUGGGUUUUUGAGAAUCCUCGUUAUAAACAGCGGGACAAUGAACACGGAUCUCUGUGUCCUUCUGUAUGUAACUGGAGAAUAAAUUCCUAGACGUGGAUCAAGGGACGUGUUAUAAAUGUCAUGUGUCGCUGGCUGUAGCAGGUACUUAGAACACCAUGCGUUCCAGCCAGCGUAAGUAAGUAGAGAUUUACUGCAGGGUGCGGGCUCGUGUGCAGAGUCGUUGCAAUGGCUCAAAGACGAGUUUCGGUCAAAUGUGGAGCAAUGACUUCCAGAGCUGUCCUGCAGACCUGGGCCUCGAGAAAAAGUGCUGCCUUUCUCGUCAGGCGAAUCCUUGCUGGCUGGGCCGCUGCCCUGCACCUUCCAGCUCCAGAGGCAUGCUGUCUGGGCUGCAGUCGGGACGUGGAAACGGUCAGGAAGUCUCCGUGGAAAACAAUCACUGAUGACAGUUCACCCCCAGGAGCGCCGGUUCCUCCUCAAACUCAAGCGAUUAGCAGAAUCCAACUCACAUGGAGAAAUCUGGCUCUACUGGAGCCCAGGGGAUGUAGUUUAUAACUUUCCUGCUUCUGCAAUGCAUGAAGUCACAUACAAAUGGGGUUGGGAUGGGCCUUGAGUGCCACAUGCCCGUUACACUUGUUUUUUUUUAUUUUAUUUUAUUAUGUUAUGUUAAUCACAACACAUUACAUUAUUAGUUUGUGAUGUAGUGUUCCAUGAUUCAUUUUGCCAAAAUAUCUUCCAGAAUCUACCAUACACGAAAGCGCCGGAUUCUAACACACCAUCAGCGAAGCUCUCUUACCACACCUGAUUUCUACUAACCUGGUUUAAUAUCUCAUUGUUUCAGCUGAACACGGAAAAAAAAUGAAGUGAGCUGAAUUUGGAGCCCAGCAUCCCAACCAUCACUGAAAUAACCUCAAAAUCUCAGAAGCUUAACAGAAAAAAGGGAACUUAGGAGGCUGAACUUCCAAUGGCCCAGCGACGGAGCCUGAGAUCAUGAAACUGAAUCUCCCGUGCUCAGCACCUGUACCGCUUGGGUUCAUUUAUCUUUACAAAUAGUUUUCCAAGAGACAAGGCAGCGUGAGCUCAGGAAGAGAGAAGUCAUGACCGACAGAAGUUUCCCAGACAUCCCAGCUUUGUGACCUGUUGCCGCAGCCUUAGCUGGUUUACGGUGGUGGCCUCGCCCAUCUGCCAGUGUCCAAAGAUGGGACAGGGGCUGAAAUCAAAUGUUCUCCCAGCUCUUAGGGAUACACAACAAUUCCCCCUGUCUUCUUA